GCGAAGCACGGAGGAGGGGCGGCGGGGAGAGGAAGGGGGGGAGAGUUGUCGGGAAUGAUGGGGCGGAAAGAGCGGGUAGGCGGCCGGAAAGGUCCGUUGUGAGAACGGGGAGCGAAGGCGGGGGUGGACGAUGGAAGCGGUGUGGGUAGAGUGCGGAAGAGGAGAGUGGAAUUCGCGGUGUAGCGGUGAAAUGCGCAGAUAUCGGGAAGAACACCCGUGGCUAAGGCGGCUCUCUAGUACGGUACGGACGCUGAGACGCGAAAGCGUGGGGAGCGAACAGGAUUAGAUACCCUGGUAGUC
rnacentral:rRNA from 1 species